rfam:Salmo salar isolate Sally breed double haploid chromosome ssa15, whole genome shotgun sequence.
GCAAAGGCUCUUUUAAUAGCCACCUAAUAAAUUCAAAUAACUGUGU